rnacentral:rRNA from 1 species
UGGGGAAUAUUGGGCAAUGGGCGAAAGCCUGACCCAGCAACGCCGCGUGAAGGAAGAAGGCUUUCGGGUUGUAAACUUCUUUUAUUCGGGACGAAACAAAUGACGGUACCGAAUGAAUAAGCCACGGCUAACUACGUGCCAGCAGCCGCGGUAAUACGGAGGGUGCAAGCGUUGUCCGGAAUCAUUGGGCGUAAAGAGUUCGUAGGUGGUAUGUUAAGUCUGGUGUUAAAGCCCGAAGCUCAACUUCGGUUCGGCACUGGAUACUGGCAAACGUGAAUGUGGUAGAGGUAAAGGGAAUUCCUGGUGUAGCGGUGAAAUGCGUAGAUAUCAGGAGGAACAUCGGUGGCGUAAGCGCUUUACUGGGCCAUAAUUGACACUGAGGAACGAAAGCCGGGGUAGCAAAUG